rnacentral:tRNA from 1 species
ACUUAUAUAUUUUAAAUUAGAAUGUUGCAUUGAAGCUGCAACGGUGGCUAUAGCCUGUAAGUG